rnacentral:rRNA from 1 species
GACGAACGCUGGCGGCGUGCUUAACACAUGCAAGUCGAACGGAGUACCUUUGAAAGAGGAUUCGUCCAAUUGAUAAGGUUACUUAGUGGCGGACGGGUGAGUAACGCGUGAGGAACCUGCCUUGGAGUGGGGAAUAACACAGUGAAAAUUGUGCUAAUACCGCAUAAUGCAGUUGGGCCGCAUGGCUCUGACUGCCAAAGAUUUAUCGCUCUGAGAUGGCCUCGCGUCUGAUUAGCUAGUUGGUGGGGUAACGGCCUACCAAGGCGAUGAUCAGUAGCCGGUCUGAGAGGAUGAACGGCCACAUUGGGACUGAGACACGGCCCAG